rnacentral:misc_RNA from 1 species
GAUGAAGAACGUAGCGAAAUGCGAUACUUGGUGUGAAUUGCAGAAUCCCGUGAACCAUCGAGUCUUUGAACGCAAGUUGCGCCCGAAGCCAUUAGGCCGAGGGCACGCCUGCCUGGGCAUCACACGUCGUUGCCCCCCCAUCUACUCCUUCGGGAUUGCGGGGGGCGGAUGAUGGCCUCCCGUGCGCCUCGUCGCGCGGUUGGCAUAAAUGCCAAGUCCUCGGCGACGCACGCCACGACAAUCGGUGGUUGCGAAACCUCGGUUGCCCGUCGUGUGCGGUCGUCGCGCAUCGAGGGCUCGAAAAAAUUGUCGGGCUCCGGCUCGGCUUUCAACGCGACCCCAGGUCAGGCGGGGUUACCCGCUGAAUUUAAGCAUAUCAAUAAGCGGAGGA